GCAGAAUUCAGUGAAUCAUCGAGUCUUUGAACGCAAAUGGCGCUCCUGGGUAUUCCCAGGAGCAUGUCUGUCUCAGUGUCGUUUUCACCUCGAACGUGCUUCGGCGCGGUUGUAAUGAGGCGUCUGAAGGCCUGUUUUUGCAUGGUGCUGCUUGGCUAGCGCCUGUGGACGGGCUUUUUCAGUCCCUUGAAAUGCAGUGGCCGAACGUGUUGUGUUGAAGCAUGGCUUCGGGUCGGUUCGCCCCGGAUCUGCUCGCACGGCUGGUCAGAUCUUCGUUGUCUGUCGUCGUGUUGCAGUGGCCUGGGCGCACUUGACAUCAUGCCGUCUGCGCAGCCGUUCGAACAAAGCCAAAAGCCUUGGAAAGAAGAGAAAGCGGUUCCUGCCGGCCCUGUGCGCGCGCGCAAGAGCCGCAAACACCUUCGACCUGAGAUCA
rnacentral:rRNA from 1 species